rnacentral:lncRNA from 1 species
UUGGCUACUUUUAGAAUCCUGCUGAUUGGUGCGUUUUACAGAGCACUGAUUGGUGUGUUUUAUGCUAAUUAGUGUGUUUUAUGCUGAUUGGUGCGUUUUAUAAUCCUCUUGUAAGACAGGAAAGUUCCUGAUUGGUGCAUUUUACAAUCCUCUUGUAAGACAGAAAAGUUCGCCAAGUCCCCACUCAACCCAGGAAGUCCAGCUGGCCUCACCUCUCAACAGAGCAGAGGGAGGGCAGCUGGGAUGCGGGGGCAAGGCUGACUUCCAGGGUUCCACCUUGGCCAGCGAAUGGAACCUACGUUCAUGCCAGCUUCAGACUGAAGCUCAUUCCUUUCUUGUCCCUGAGGUUUCUUCACGACAAGCAGUCCUUUAACUGCAUGAAUGCUUUUAAAUCCUGGGUCAUGCAAAGACUUCCUAAGAUCCUGAGUAAAACAUGAGGUUGCCCAGCACAAUUCCGUGGCUGAUUUUCAAUAGUUUUCUCAGCUUUAUUCUCAACUCAAUUUUGUUAUUCUAGUCAGCUGACCUAUGGCAUGACUAUCACACCUCCAUUAUUUUAGAAAUGGGAUUUCCAACCUCAGCACGUCAUUCAUCUGAACAACUUCCACCGUGGUUUCCUGUUCAUACAAGCAGCCCUCCUCCACACCGCAAUUCCACUGCUGUGCCAAUUCUUCUUUUAGAGUCAGGAGCCCAGAAAGCUUCUACAAUGCCAAUUACAAGGCUCUUUGUGACAAGCAUUCUAAUCUACUCAAACAAAAAAAUGCGUAUUUAUAGCAUUCGUUCAACUAAAAAAGUAUACUAUAUAAAGCCCAAGAAUGUAAGUUUACGUGUAAAAAAACUGACACCAGCAAUUUUACCUCCUCCUUAUUUUCCUCCAGCUGCGCAGUUAGGAGGAUUGUUUGUUUGGUCUAUUCAUCUUCCCAGUCUUCUCACUGAAUUCUCCUCUGACUCUCCCAGGGGCCAAAUCUCAAUUCUUAUCUUCUGUUCACUCUUACUCCUUGGCUCUCUCCUCAUCCUUACUCCUUUCUCUUCUUUUAAAGAAGCGGGCCCAUGUAUGGAAGAGCUGACGAUGGGACAGCCAGCGCUGGCACGGCCUUGAUAACAUGCGCGAACCAGGCUCUGGUGCACUUUAGAACCUGUGAGCAACUUGCUGCCUUCGCCGGCCUUCCAGCCAGCCAAUUGGCUUCGACACCAAUAUCAGGGCUAAGUCUAUCAGUUGACUUGACAAUUCUCUAGGGACAACCACGUAUUUGAAGCUUGCCAGUUACAAUAGCAAUUUCUGCCCAGCAGGUCACUAAGGGAGUAUUUUUGAGAACAUGUACUCAAGGUAUGUUGAUCCCCCUUGGU